rnacentral:sRNA from 1 species
CUUUUCUUGCUGCCUCACCCCAUCACCUUCAUUGUUCUCUGCUGGAAUCUUCUUCCCCGUGACUUCUCCCGCCUCUCCCCCAGGCUGACGGUGACCGCAGGACCCAUCCGACUCUGGGCCCUCGGGGGCCAAUCCUGGGGAGCCCCCACACUCCCCUCUUCCUGCCCCAUGGCUUGGAGCCCGAGGCUGGGGGCACCUUGCCCUCUCGCCUGCAGCCCAUUCUCCUCCUGGACCCCUCAGGCUCUCAUGCCCCGCUGCUGACUGUGCCCGGGCUUGGGCCCUUGCCCUUCCACUUUGCCCAGUCCUUAAUGACCACCGAGCGGCUCUCUGGGUCAGGCCUCCACUGGCCACUGAGCCGGACUCGCUCAGAGCCCCUGCCCCCCAGUGCCACCGCUCCCCCACCGCCGGGCCCCAUGCAGCCCCGCCUGGAGCAGCUCAAAACUCACGUCCAGGUGAUCAAGAGGUCAGCCAAGCCGAGUGAGAAGCCCCGGCUGCGGCAGAUACCCUCGGCUGAAGACCUGGAGACAGAUGGCGGGGGACCGGGCCAGGUGGUGGACGA